CUGGGAUAACUUCGGGAAACCGGAGCUAAUACCGGAUAAUAUUUUGAACCGCAUGGUUCAAAAGUGAAAGACGGUCUUGCUGUCACUUAUAGAUGGAUCCGCGCUGCAUUAGCUAGUUGGUAAGGUAACGGCUUACCAAGGCAACGAUGCAUAGCCGACCUGAGAGGGUGAUCGGCCACACUGGAACUGAGACACGGUCCAGACUCCUACGGGAGGCAGCAGUAGGGAAUCUUCCGCAAUGGGCGAAAGCCUGACGGAGCAACGCCGCGUGAGUGAUGAAGGUCUUCGGAUCGUAAAACUCUGUUAUUAGGGAAGAACAUAUGUGUAAGUAACUGUGCACAUCUUGACGGUACCUAAUCAGAAAGCCACGGCUAACUACGUGCCAGCAGCCGCGGUAAUACGUAGGUGGCAAGCGUUAUCCGGAAUUAUUGGGCGUAAAGCGCGCGUAGGCGGUUUUUUAAGUCUGA
rnacentral:rRNA from 1 species